rnacentral:rRNA from 1 species
AUUGAACGCUGGCGGCAUGCUUUACACAUGCAAGUCGAACGGCAGCACGGGGGCAACCCUGGUGGCGAGUGGCGAACGGGUGAGUAAUGCAUCGGAACGUACCCGGGAGUGGGGGAUAACGUAGCGAAAGUUACGCUAAUACCGCAUAUUCUGUGAGCAGGAAAGUGGGGGACCGUAAGGCCUCAUGCUUCUGGAGCGGCCGAUGUCGGAUUAGCUAGUUGGUGGGGUAAAGGCUUACCAAGGCGACGAUCCGUAGCGGGUCUGAGAGGAUGAUCAGCCACACUGGGACUGAGACACGGCCCAGACUCCUACGGGAGGCAGCAGUGGGGAAUUUUGGACAAUGGGCGCAAGCCUGAUCCAGCCAUGCCGCGUGAGUGAAGAAGGCCUUCGGGUUGUAAAGCUCUUUUGUUGGGGAAGAAAUGCUCUGGGUUAAUACCCUGGGGUGAUGACGGUACCCAAAGAAUAAGCACCGGCUAACUACGUGCCAGCCGCCGCAGUAA